CCUACGGGGUGCAGCAGUGAGGAAUAUUGGUCAAUGGACGAGAGUCUGAACCAGCCAAGUAGCGUGAAGGAUGACUGCCCUAUGGGUUGUAAACUUCUUUUAUAUGGGAAUAAAAUGUUCCACGUGUGGGAUUUUGUAUGUACCAUAUGAAUAAGGAUCGGCUAACUCCGUGCCAGCAGCCGCGGUAAUACGGGGGAUCCGAGCGUUAUCCGGAUUUAUUGGGUUUAAAGGGAGCGUAGGUGGAUUGUUAAGUCAGUUGUGAAAGUUUGCGGCUCAACCGUAAAAUUGCAGUUGAAACUGGCAGUCUUGAGUACAGUAGAGGUGGGCGGAAUUCGUGGUGUAGCGGUGAAAUGCUUAGAUAUCACGAAGAACUCCGAUUGCGAAGGCAGUUCACUGGACUGCAACUGACACUGAGGCUCGAAAGUGUGGGUAUCAAACAGGAUUAGAUACCCUUGUAGUC
rnacentral:rRNA from 1 species